rnacentral:rRNA from 1 species
UUUUUUAAUUGAAAACUUGUUUGAAUGGUUGAAUGAGAUAUUUACUGUUUCAUAAAAAUUUUAAUAGAAUUUUUUUUUUUAGUUAAAAAACUAAAAUGUUAAUAAAGGACGAGAAGACCCUAUAAAAUUUUAUAAUUUUUAUUUUAUAAUUUUUAAAGAAUUAAUUAAAUUUUAUUUUUAAAAUUAUUUUGUUGGGGUGAUUAUAUAAUUUAAUAAACUUAUAAUAUUUUAUACAUAAAUUUAUGAUUAAUUGAUUUUAUUUUAUGAAUUAAAAGAAAUAAUUACUUUAGGGAUAACAGCGUAAUUUUAUUUUUAAGUUCUUAUUUAUAAUAAAAAUUGC